AUUCAUUUCAGCUAAAUCAAUUCACUGAAGAGUCUCUUACCAGCCUACUGAGGAUUUGCUAUUGUCAGGCACACAACAGUCCAAUGAUAUAUGUGCCAUUAUUAUCCUCGUUUUUUAGAUUUAAGCAUCAACAAUGAUCUGAAGAUUUAUGUAAAACUAUAACAAAAAAAAGAAGAGAAUGUUUUGAAGGAAAAAAAAAUUGAUUCCUGAAUUAAAAAGACACAGUGAGAAGAUGGCUGUCUGCAAGGCAGAAAGAGGGCUCUCACCAGAAAUGGAAUCUCCCAGCACCUUUGUCUUGGACUUCCCAGCCUCCAAAACUGUGAGAAACAAACAUCUGUUGUUUAAGCUCCCCAAUCUAUGGUAUUUUUUAUAAGAGCCCAAGUAGACUAAGACACUGAGAUCAUGGAACACAGAACUACUGAUAUUCUCCUUUCCUCUUGGCCUUUUCCCUUCAUGAACCAUCAUUUCAAAAUUUAAGAAGUCCCUCACAAAUUACUUUGUUGUUAUAAAAAUAUUUGGAAUUAAUGUGCUUAUUUCUUUACAAGAUGGACUCUGUACCUUGUUAACUGCUGAUACUAUUUCUUAAUGUGGCAGCCAUUGGAAUGCAAUAUAUCCAAGUAAAAUCCUAUAUAUCCUGCAUAUCCUUUAUAUACAGGCUUAUUAGCCAUCUUGUGCUAUCAUUGGACUGUCAUUCUGGUUGUCUUUAGAGGUUCAGGGAAUGGGACAUAACGGUUAGUUCUAUUUAGUAAAAAUGGUCAUUAGUUUCAUGAAAAUGAAAAUUUGUAUCAGAGAAUUUCAAGUGAAAGUAAUGACUAAUUUAUUCACAUCACAUACAAAUUUAGAACCGAAAGUAAUUUAUGGUUAGAUCAGAAUCCUCUCUAUGGGCACUUACCAUCGUAAAAAACAUAAAGAGCCAAUGGAAAUAGUGUCUGUUUUAUUGCCCAUCUCAUUUAGCACCAUUAAACUAGCCUUAAGUGUCUGAAGAAAGUAUAAACAUGUUAGAACGAUAUUCAUUAGCAUGUUGGUUUCUACAACAUUUUGGUACAUACAUUCAUCUCAGGGCCAUC